rnacentral:misc_RNA from 1 species
CUGCACAAGAUCUUUCUCCAAUUUAUCUGCUGCUCUCAGUACUUGUACAGUAUCUGGUGUCAAUUCUGUUAUACCCGAAACAAAUUGUUUAAGCUCAUUCCCAUAGCACACGUGUAGGGUGGCAACGGCUACUCCUGCAGCAAAAGGAUGCCAUCUCUUUAAGAUGGGACUAAAAAUCUCCUUCUCUUUACAAGCCUGCUCACCAACAUCCUUUGCAAGGA